GCAAGUGACUCUGGUAGCCUGGACUUGAGUAGGUUGGCCGGCCACACGUGGAGAUCUGAGACACCGGUCUCAGAUCUCCAUAACGGGAGGCAGCAGUGGGGAAUCUUGCACAAUGGACUGAAAGUCUGAUGCAUGCAACGCCGCGUGGGGGAUGAAGCUUUUCGGAGUGUAAACCCCUUUCGACCCGGAAGAAAGCCCGCAAGGGUUUGACGGUACGGGUAUAAGAAGCCCCGGCUAACUACGUGCCAGCAGCCGCGGUAAAACGUAGGGGGCCAGCGUUGCUCGGGAAUUACUGGGCGUAAAGGGUGCGUAGGCGGUUGGGUAAGUCUGACGUGAAAUCUCCGGGCCUAACCCGGAAACUGCGUCGGAUACUAUCCGGCUAGAGGGAUUGGAAGGGAGACUGGAAUAAUUUGGUGUUAAGCCAGUUGAAAU
rnacentral:rRNA from 1 species